CACAACCGACAGCGGCCCAGUUUUAUCGCUUAGCCCUGCUGAAGCAAGCAACACACCCAACACAGCACACAGCCAAGGGUCCAAUUAUACAAGUCAUAACUCAUUAACUGUUUUUGGUUUUCUUUUCAGGAGAACGGCGAAAAAACGAACUUGAUGCAGCACAAAUGAUAACGAAAUAAUCUACUAAGAGAGAGAUGGUCAUCGACUUUGGUAACCUUUCGUUGUUUGGUUUGAAAAAUAAACACCAAGGAAAAAAAAACAAAUCACAACACACACAACAUUUUGGCCGGACUAAUCAAAGCUGUUGUAUUGCAACUUUUACAGCCGCAGCGAGAGGCGGAUGAAAUAUUAAUUAAUAUUUGUUUGUUUUUUUGCUUUGUCUCUUGUAUAGUAAAAAGGAGGGGGA